rnacentral:rRNA from 1 species
CACGUAGGGUGCGAGCGUUGUCCGGAAUUAUUGGGCGUAAAGAGCUCGUAGGCGGUGUGUCGCGUCGGCCGUGAAAACCUGCAGCUUAACUGUGGGCUUGCGGUCGAUACGGGCAUCACUGGAGUUCGGCAGGGGAGACUGGAAUUCCUGGUGUAGCGGUGAAAUGCGCAGAGUAUCAGGAGGAACACCGGUGGCGAAGGCGGGUC